GUACUCGAGUGGCGAACGGGUGAGUAACACGUGGGUGAUCUGCCCUGCACUUCGGGAUAAGCUUGGGAAACUGGGUCUAAUACCGGAUAGGAGCCAUCUUUAGUGUGGUGGUUGGAAAGUUUUUUCGGUGUAGGAUGAGCUCGCGGCCUAUCAGCUUGUUGGUGGGGUAAUGGCCUACCAAGGCGGCGACGGGUAGCCGGCCUGAGAGGGUGUACGGCCACAUUGGGACUGAGAUACGGCCCAGACUCCUACGGGAGGCAGCAGUGGGGAAUAUUGCACAAUGGGCGCAAGCCUGAUGCAGCGACGCCGCGUGGGGGAUGAAGGCCUUCGGGUUGUAAACUCCUUUCGCUAGGGACGAAGCUUUGUUGUGACGGUACCUAGAUAAGAAGCACCGGCUAACUACGUGCCAGCAGCCGCGGUAAUACGUAGGGUGCGAGCGUUGUCCGGAAUUACUGGGCGUAAAGGGCUCGUAGGUGGUUUGUCGCGUCGUCUGUGAAAUUCUGGGGCUUAACUCCGGGCGUGCAGGCGAUACGGGCAUAACUUGAGUGCUGUAGGGGUAACUGGAAUUCCUGGUGUAGCGGUGAAAUGCGCAGAUAUCAGGAGGAACACCGAUGGCGAAGGCAGGUUACUGGGCAGUUACUGACGCUGAGGAGCGAAA
rnacentral:rRNA from 1 species